CCCUCUCUCAAGUUAAGAAAUAUAAAGCCACGGUUUUUGCAAACUCUCUCUCUCCAAACGUAAAUAUCAAAUUCCACCCCUUUAGUUUCUCUUUAUAUUUUUGAGGCUUCUAUAGAGUUAUAGUGAGUUAUGUUGAUUUUGUUUUGUGUGUGUGUGUGUAUAGAUGGUCAUAAUACUCCGGUAUUCCAAGAGAAGUUUGUGUUUUCGUUAAUUGAAGGUCUUAGAGAGAUAAGUGUUGCAGUUUGGAACAGCAAUACAGAAGACGAUUUCAUUGGCAGCGGAAAGGUCCAAUUGAGGAAGGUUUAUUCAAAGGGUUAAGACGACCGCACUUGGUGUCUGUAUACUAAUAGUGGGGUUUAUAUUUCUAAUCGUUGAUGAGAAAUUAAGGCUCAGUUGCACAAUAUGUGUAAAUUCUUCAGAAGGCUACUUUAAAUAGUAAGUCAAUGUGUCUUUUACAUUUGGGUAUUGGUUAAAAUUAUUUUCCAAUGAUUGUACCAAUAAAAGUGAAUGUGUAUAAAUUUUGUUUAAAUAUCCCGUGCAUCGCACGGGUUAGCGACUAGUAAG